GAUGUAGGGCGCGAGCGUUGUCCGGAUUUACUGGGCGUAAAGCGCACGUAGGCGGAUUUGUAAGUCAGGGGUGAAAUCCCGGGGCUCAACCUCGGAACUGCCUUUGAUACUGCAAAUCUCGAGUCCGGAAGAGGUGAGUGGAAUUCCUAGUGUAGAGGUGAAAUUCGUAGAUAUUAGGAAGAACACCAGUGGCGAAGGCGGCUCACUGGUCCGGUACUGACGCUGAGGUGCGAAAGCGUGGGGAGCAAACAGG
rnacentral:rRNA from 1 species